CUGCUGGUUCAGCAGGUCAGGGGUCUCACCGAAGCAGUGCAGACCAUGCAGCAGCAGCAGCAACCGCAGGCAUCUGUGCGACUGGAAAGAGCAUCGUCGGAGUUCUAGAAUCCGACGAUCGGGUGGCCCACUUGGGCCAGUCGUCCUGUGUUCCCCGAAAAGGAAAAGCAGAGGGUGGAGAGCCCUCUUUCUGAUCAUGAUUCCACCCUCGGAGGGUUUCUACCUCCGUUUUGCCAGAAGACCCUCGAGACUCACAGUCGAGAGGAUCUCCUGGAUUAAAGGUUCCAAGAGAUGAAUCGGUGGAU
rnacentral:lncRNA from 1 species